rnacentral:rRNA from 1 species
AGAGUUUGAUCAUGGCUCAGAGCGAACGCUGGCGGCGUGCUUAACACAUGCAAGUCGAGUGCGCGCCUGUAGCAAUACAGGUGGCGCACGGCGCACGGGUGCGUAACACGUGGGUAAUCUGCCCUUCGAAGGGGAAUAACUCGCCGAAAGGCGAGCUAAUUCCGCAUAAUAUUCCGAGAACUUCGGUUUUUGGACUCAAAGGCGUAAGUCGUCGGAGGAGGAGCCCGCGCACGAUUAGCUAGUUGGUGAGGUAAUGGCUCACCAAGGCUAUGAUCGUUAGCUGGUCUGAGAGGAUGGCCAGCCACACUGGAACUGAGACACGGUCCAGACUCCUACGGGAGGCAGCAGUGGGGAAUCUUGCACAAUGGGCGAAAGCCUGAUGCAGCGACGCCGCGUGGGGGAUGAAGCUUCUCGGAGUGUAAACCCCUUUCGACCCGGACGAAUGCCCCGCAAGGGGACUGACGGUACGGGUAUAAGAAGCCCCGGCUAACUACGUGCCAGCAGCCGCGGUAAGACGUAGGGGGCCAGCGUUGCUCGGAAUUACUGGGUGUAAAGGGUUCGUAGGCGGUGUGGCAAGUCGGGAGUGAAAUCUCUGGGCUCAACCCAGAGUCUGCUUCCGAAACUGCUGUGCUUGAGUGUGGGAGAGGCGCGUGGAAUUGCAGGUGUAGCGGUGAAAUGCGUAGAUAUCUGCAGGAACACCCGUGGCGAAAGCGGCGCGCUGGACCACUACUGACGCUGAGGAACGAAAGCUAGGGGAGCAAACAGGAUUAGAUACCCUAGUAGUCC